GCAUCUUUUUUUUUUUCAACCUGUACUGCUGUGGAAUUGUUACGUGAUUCAACCUUUUCAGACUUUAAGUAACAAAGUCCAGGCAUAGGUGCCCUCGGGUUUUAAACAGUGCUUUUGGAAAGUACUGUAGUCAGAGUUGUAUGGUCUCCAUUGCUUCGUCAGACACCCGAGGGGGUUACUUUGGAAAGUGAAGGUUUUUUUUUUUUCUUUUUUCUUAUAAGAUAAAUGUCCCCACUUUAUUUUGUAUGUAAGUUUUGUUCAUAUCGUAGUUCCUUGAAAUGCUAAAUGUUUUUUUAAGAGCGUUUAUCUUAACUCUCUGGUUGUUCAGAGGUUAGUGUUCAGCAGUAUGACUUAAACGAUUUAGUAAUGUAAACAUACUUUAACAAACAUUUUCAUAAUUAAGAUAUGCCAAAGAGUGAGCUCCUGCCAGAGAGCUGUUCCAGGAACCUUCCUGUGGCAGGCAGCCUGGCCUCUUCAGAAAGCUUCACGUGGGAAAACUCACAAUAUUUUGAUGCCUUACAAUUGGGGCUGGUAAAGCAACUGAGGUGUGGAAGCUGCAUCCUAUGAAGAAAGACCUCAGUCUCCCCGGGUCACUGCCCUGGUCUGCAUUAGAGAGAAGGAUGGUAGUCAUUCAAACCCAGGGCACCGGAGGCUGCCCAGCUUCCUGUCAUGUGGUUUCUUGUGUCUUCCUCAUAUCUAAGCUGUGUUCUUGUAUCAGCCAAGGGUUUCACUACGAGAAACCCGUAGUGGUUUUCUCCUAGGCCGCCAAAGCUGAUCAUGAUGGCAUCAUGAUAUCUCAUAGUUUAAAUAGUUUCUCAGCUUGGCCCCCAGGGGAAAUUUUAAAUGAAUAUUCAUAUUCAAAGAUUACUUUGAAAUCUAGUAUUUCAGAAUAUGGUGUAGAUAUUUAUUUCCCGGGCGUCUUGGUAUUUAGUGCUUUACUGGAGAACCUUAGCAGCAAGCUGCUCAAAAAGAAAGCUGCUCAGAAAGCUCUGGCUUUCUGAGGUGCUCUUAGACACCAUGUAGUUAAGAGCUGGUGUGACUCCAUCUUGAGCUGUAGUCACCAGACUAAGGCAUUGGGUUGGUCUAAAAGCAGUUGAGGCCUUUUAGGAGGGUGUGUGCUGUAGUGUUUUAGUGCCUGCUGUAAGCUGCAGUGGUUUAGUGCCUGCUGUAGGCUGUAGUGUUUUAGUGCCUGCUGUAGGCUGUAGUAUUUUAGCACCAACUGUGCGCUGGCAGAGUUCGUUGCUUCUCUGGUGUCAAGAUGGCACCCAUUUAUUGUUCUGGGAGAGUCAAUCUGCUCAGAAGUGGCAUAGAUUAGCAGCUGGGCCCCUCUGACGAGCCUGUCAGAUGGCAGAGUGUAGACCUGACACACCUCGUUCAGACAGCCUCCUCUUAUGUGAUUGAUGCUCUCUCGGUAAGUUCUGGAAGCCUAGGUUUCUGAACCAUACUAACCCUGGCCACUGCACUGUACUUAAUACUGCCGACAGGAAAGGGCACACGGGCACACAGAAGCUUUUCAUUCUCAAACUUGGCCAUUCUACUUCAGCUGGAACUCAUGACUGGAUGCCUUUUUCAAACAAACAAGCAAGUGUGUAGCUCAGGCUAGCCCUGAGCUUCCAAUCCUGCUUCAGCCCCAGAGUGUACCAGUCAGUGUCACAGAUGUACAGUGUCAUGGUGCUGACUUGGUUUUGAGAGAUGGCUCAUUUCUGGUAUAUUUUAAUGCCACGUUUUUAAUUUUUAAAGACUUACCACUUAUUUAGGUAAAUUGUGAGUAGUAGAAGCCAUGUGGGGUUUCGUGUACCAAAGCUUAUAAGACAUCAUCCCAGCAAGAAGGGGGACUAGCCAAAGUCAGCACGUUCUGUUCUAUGAGGGCCUAAGGUGAAUCUUUAAAUAUCGUCCGCAUCACGGAACGUGCUCGUUGUUUCUUAGAAACAGCGGUCUUUAAUAAAAAAGGGAAUGAAUUAAAAACCAAUCAACUCAUUUUGUUUACUUUGUUUUUAAAUCUGAUUUGGAGUUGAACAAAAAUUCUCAGUUGAGAAACUGCUUUCUGAGCAAAGAGACAAAAAAAAUUAUCAAGAAACAUUAAAGCAAGAGGCUUUUUAUUUUGAAAUUAUGUUUUCCUAAAUCUUUCUUUAGAAAAAAAUUAAGUGAUGAAGUUUGUGGCAGGUUUUAUGUAAAACUUUAGAAAAACAAACUCUGGAGCAAAACCAGUUGCUGUUAUAACUGGACACAGAAUCGGAAGUGUCCCGGUGAGUCUGCCUUCAGUUUCCCAAGCCCUGCUGUGCUUUUUUGAUUUUUAGAUGCAUAAAGGGUUUUUUAAGCACCUUAUAAACUUAAAUUCUACUUUUGGCUAAGUGACAGUUGACUUGUUCCUCACCGUCACUAACUCAGUGCUUAUAAUACAACUAAAAUGCCCGCAGAGGUUCCUGGCAGUUAUCUGUCGGGCUCUGAUGGCCGAGCCUCUUGCAGUGCUGAUGAACAGCAAAAUGUCAGAGCUACAUACAGACUACAGUGAAUACUUCUUCAAAAGAUAUUUUUAUUUUAGUCCAUGUGUUGGCUAAAAUACACCAGGGUUUAGGGGACUGGCCAUGCCACUGUGCACAGGGUGGGAGGGGGACCAGCCACGCCACAGCGCACAGGUGGAGGCCCCAGGACAGCUGUGGAGUUGCUCUCUUCCCACCAUGCAAGUUCAGAUUGAACUCAGCAUGAGGCUUUAGCGUUCCCUCCACAGCCAGUGUUUUAAUGAUUCUCUAGCAGGUAUGAAAACAGGUUGCUGGUUAAACAUUUUGAAAUCCAUAGGUGUAAGUCACAUGUCAGACCUGUCACCUCAGAAGGACUUUCAGGGAGGGACCUGAUCUGUUUUCUCCUCUGUGUGUUUGCUCGGGUGUCCGGAACAAUUCACGGUUUCGUCAAUUCACGGCUUCGUGGCCGUGGUUAUUUUUCUCCUGCUAACAUUAAAAUUAGCUUCAAACUGAGCCUUAUGUUUGUGCUGUUCAUGCCUUCUGUGAUGAUAAUGGAUCAGGCAGGAUCAUAUGUUGGCAAGAGGCAACGGCAACUUGGUCUGUAGGUUUGUGAACUUGAUGGGUGAAGGUUCUUGUCAUUUUUCUGAGUGUUAGAACAACAGUGACCAAAAAUUUACAUUAAGGGUCCUUUUCUGCAUCCUUAAAGGAACUGAUGUUAUUUGUCAAGUAUUUCCGUACAAGGCAUGCUAAUACUAACUUCAGUUCUAACAGUCCAGAGAGCCCCUGACUGUUUUGAACUGAUUAUGUAGAAAAAUCUGAAAACACCACUUAUUGAUAAUCUGAGAACUAUUUGGGUGGGGGGAAAAGAAAGAGAGAGAGAGAGAGAG
rnacentral:lncRNA from 1 species